rnacentral:lncRNA from 1 species
ACUAAAUGGCUACCGCAUCUUUCAAAUAGCUAGUUGCAUAUAUCAUUUCUUCCAUGGUAUUUGCCUCUAAUAGUUGGAGGUAUUGUUACAUAUUCAAGAGCCAUUGACAUACAUUUUUGUGUCUUGAAGUUCCAAAAUAUAUACUAGGCUUACAUAAUUUUAGCGUAGCAGAUGUCAACUUCCUUGUCCUUAGGGCUUUUAUUUGCCCUUGUAAAGUAGUUAUAUAGCCAAAGAGGUGUUGUAUUUGAGCCUCUAUCUGGGAUUGCUCUGCCAUAUCUUUUGUGCUGUAAUUUCUCUGCUAGACUCCACUAUUAAAAUGUCUUCUCACCUCUCAGUUGACUUUUUAAGAGUAGCUCAUGGUAGCCUCAAUAUAGUAUCCAAUGUCACCACAACAACUGAUCUUAGAUUUGAUGAUGACUAUUGAUACACUUCCAAAGGUAAAUAGUCUAAUACUUGCUCUCACACCAAUGAAAUAAGACAAAAUUAUCUCAAAAAAUC